GUUUGAUCCUGCCAGUAAUCAUAUGCUUGUCUCAAAGAUUAAGCCAUGCAUGUCUAAGUACAUGCCGAAAUAAGGCGAAACCGCGAAUGGCUCAUUAAAUCAGUUAUGGUUCCUUAGAUCGUUUCUUCCUACUUGGAUAACUGUGGCAAUUCUAGAGCUAAUACAUGCAGUGAGCCUGGAGCCCUUUGGGUAACGGGUGCUUUUAUUAGACCAAGAUCGAUCGGGUUUCGGCCCGUAUUGUGUGGUGACUCUGGAUAACUUUGUGCUGAUCGCAUGGCCACGAGCCGGCGACGUUUCUUUCAAGUGUCUGCCUUAUCAACUUUCGAUGGUAGGUUACUUGCUUACCAUGGUUGUUACGGGUAACGGAGAAUCAGGGUUCGAUUCCGGAGAGGGAGCCUGAGAAACGGCUACCACAUCCAAGGAAGGCAGCAGGCGCGCAAAUUACCCACUCCCGGCACGGGGAGGUAGUGACGAAAAAUAACAAUACGGGACUCUUUUGAGGCCCCGUAAUUGAAAUGAGUACACUCUAAAUCCUUUAACGAGGAUCAAUUGGAGGGCAAGUCUGGUGCCAGCAGCCGCG
rnacentral:rRNA from 1 species